CACAAACGUUUCCCCCUUCCUCAAACUUAUACCCAGCCACAGUAACAGAACUAAGAAAGAGAGUGGGGAAGAGAGGAGGGGCGGUGAUGGCUGUGGCCUCGCUACUGCCGCCGCCCAGCUCAACGCCGCCGUCUCACCUUGCUCGCGCCGUUCCUUCCCUCAUCAUACACUUUUAAUUUCAUCCCUCCAACUCACCCACGGACCAGGAAAGAACGGGAGGAGAUCGCGUCAGCCUGGGAAGGAGGGUGCUGCCACCAUAAUCAGUUGCGGCCGCUGCAAGCUCACCGCAUCGCGCAGUCUUGGAGUCCGCCGUCAGGUCCGAGGCGAAGAGAGAGGUCUAAACAGAGGACUACGCGAGGAAGAGGGUGGCCGUGGGUCGCCAUUUUGUCUCGCCAUUACCACCGAGGACACACCCAGUCCAGGCGUGCCACCAUCCCUGCGCCGUCGCAGAGCAAAUCUGAGGUGAAGGGGAGGACCGCGAAGGGGGAAAAGGGUCGCGCCGCCCAGUCGCCGGAUUGCUCGCCGCCAGCGUCGCCGGUGUUGUCGCGAGGAAGAGAGGGGGAGCCCC